UACGUGAUCUCCAAGCGUUAUCCGGAUUUAUUGGGCGUAAAGCAUUAAUAGGCGGUUCGUUAAGUUUUUUGUCAAAGCCCAAGGCUCAACCUUGGAAACGCAAAAAAUACUGGCGAACUAGAAGGCGCUAGAGGCUGAUAGAACGGUCGGUGUAGGGGUGAAAUCCGUUGAUAUCGACCGGAAUACCAAAAGCGAAGGCAUUCAGCUGGGGCGACCUUGACGCUGUAUAAUGAAAGCGUGGGGAG
rnacentral:rRNA from 1 species